rnacentral:rRNA from 1 species
CGUGGUUAUAGCGGUGAGGAACCACCUCUUCCCAUUCCGAACAGAGAAGUUAAGCUCACCAUCGCCGAUGGUACUGCCCCACCAGGUGGGAGAGUAGGUAGCUGCGG